CGGCGUGCUUAACACAUGCAAGUCGAACGAGACGAAUUAGAAGCUUGCUUUAUGAGUCGAGUGGCAAACGGGUGAGUAACGCGUAGACAACCUGCCGCAAAGAUGGGGACAACAGUCCGAAAGGACUGCUAAUACCGAAUGUUGUAUCUCCUCCGCAUGGAAGAGAUAUUAAAGAUGGCCUCUACUUGUAAGCUAUCGCUUUGCGAUGGGUCUGCGUCUGAUUAGCUAGUUGGUGGGGCAACGGCCUACCAAGGCGACGAUCAGUAGCCGGUCUGAGAGGAUGAACGGCCACAUUGGAACUGAGACACGGUCCAGACUCCUACGGGAGGCAGCAGUGGGGAAUCUUCCGCAAUGGGCGAAAGCCUGACGGAGCAACGCCGCGUGAGUGAAGAAGGUCUUCGGAUCGUAAAGCUCUGUUGUCGGGGACGAAUGUUGAGGCCUAGAACAUAGGUUUCAAAUGACGGUACCUGACGAGGAAGCCACGGCUAACUACGUG
rnacentral:rRNA from 1 species